GGGCCCGUGGCCUAGUCAUCGUAAGAAUAGAGAGGAUAUGGCGGGAGCUUGCGGAGCUUCAGGUCGAGGGAUCGAAGCCCUCCGGGCCCG
rnacentral:tRNA from 1 species